UGGUGGAGCGAUUUGUCUGGUUAAUUCCGAUAACGAACGAGACUCUAUCCUGCUAACUAGUUCACGCAUUUCACGGAGUGUGUGUCAACUUCUUAGAGGGACAAGUGGCGUUUAGCACACGAGAUUGAGCAAUAACA
rnacentral:rRNA from 1 species